rnacentral:rRNA from 1 species
AGAGUUUGAUCCUGGCUCAGGACGAACGCUGGCGGCGCGCCUAACACAUGCAAGUCGAACGAGCGAGAGAGAGCUUGCUUUCUCGAGCGAGUGGCGAACGGGUGAGUAACGCGUGAGGAACCUGCCUCAAAGAGGGGGACAACAGUUGGAAACGACUGCUAAUACCGCAUAAGCCCACGGGUCGGCAUCGACCAGAGGGAAAAGGAGCAAUCCGCUUUGAGAUGGCCUCGCGUCCGAUUAGCUAGUUGGUGAGGUAACGGCCCACCAAGGCGACGAUCGGUAGCCGGACUGAGAGGUUGAACGGCCACAUUGGGACUGAGACACGGCCCAGACUCCUACGGGAGGCAGCAGUGGGGAAUAUUGCACAAUGGGGGAAACCCUGAUGCAGCGACGCCGCGUGGAGGAAGAAGGUCUUCGGAUUGUAAACUCCUGUUGUUGAGGAAGAUAAUGACGGUACUCAACAAGGAAGUGACGGCUAACUACGUGCCAGCAGCCGCGGUAAAACGUAGGUCACAAGCGUUGUCCGGAAUUACUGGGUGUAAAGGGAGCGCAGGCGGGAAGACAAGUUGGAAGUGAAAUCCAUGGGCUCAACCCAUGAACUGCUUUCAAAACUGUUUUUCUUGAGUAGUGCAGAGGUAGGCGGAAUUCCCGGUGUAGCGGUGGAAUGCGUAGAUAUCGGGAGGAACACCAGUGGCGAAGGCGGCCUACUGGGCACCAACUGACGCUGAGGCUCGAAAGUGUGGGUAGCAAACAGGAUUAGAUACCCUGGUAGUCCACACCGUAAACGAUGAUUACUAGGUGUUGGAGGAUUGACCCCUUCAGUGCCGCAGUUAACACAAUAAGUAAUCCACCUGGGGAGUACGACCGCAAGGUUGAAACUCAAAGGAAUUGACGGGGGCCCGCACAAGCGGUGGAGCAUGUGGUUUAA